CUGUAGGGCCUCCAUCAA
rnacentral:piRNA from 1 species